rnacentral:lncRNA from 1 species
CUCCUGGCCUCAAGUGAUCCACCUGCCUUGGCCUCCCAAAGUGCUGGGAUUACAGGCAUGAGCCACUGCACCUGGCCAAAUGUGCAUUUUUAAGGUUAUCACCACAGAUUGAUUGGCAUGAGCUCAUGUGCCAUCAGGUGCAUGAAUCAUCCAACAGGACAAACAGCUGGCACAUGGUGGGUACUCCAUACAUAUCUGAUGGAUAAUGAAUGAACCUCUUAACUGCCGUCUGGCCCAGAACUGACCAGGUGGUAAUCAGUGGUCAGUGAGGUGCAACAUGAACUGGGCCCUCUCUGCUUCCCUCCCUUUUCAUCCUGCCUUAUUGAGAUACAAUUCAUAUACCAUAAAAUCCAUCCUUUUAAAGUGUUAUAUGGCAGAUGCGGUGGCUCAUGCCUGUAAUCCUAGCAUUUUGGGAGGCCGAGGUGGGCGGAUUGCUUGAGGUCAGGAGUUCAAGACCAGCCUGGCCAACAUGGUGAAACCCCAUCUCUUCUAAAAAUACAAAAAAAAAAAAAAAUUAGCCAGGCGUGGUGGUGUACGCCUGUAGUCCUAGCUACUCAGGAGGCUGAGGCAGGAGAGUCACUUGAACCCAGGAGGUGGAGGUGGUAGUGAGCCGAGAUUGCACCACUGUACUCCAUCCUGGGCAACAGAGCGAGACUUCGUCUCAAAAUAAAUAAAUAAAGUGUUAUACUUCAGUGGUUUCUGGUAUAUUCUCAGAGUUGUUCAAACAUCACCACUAUCUAAUUUCAAAACAUCUUAUUGCCCCAAAAAAGAAACCCUGUACCCAUUAGCAGUCAUUCCCCAAUCCCUCCUCUGCCCAGCCCUGGCAACCACUGUCUACUUUCUGUUCUGUGGAUUUGGAGUAGAAUCAUAUAGUAUGUGGCCUCUUGUGACUGGCUUCCUUCUCUUGGCAUGAUGUUUAAAGGUUCAUCUACAUUGUAGUGUGUGUCAGGAUUUCAUUUCUUUUUGUGGCUGAAUCAUAUUCCAUGGUAUGCAUGCACCACAUUUUGUCUACGGAUAUUUGAGUUGUUUCCACAUUUUGGCUAUUAUUAAUGCUGCUAUACACAUUUGGCAGAGUGCAGUAGCUCACACCUAUAAUCCUAGCACUUUGGGAGGCUGAGGCAAACGGAUCAAUUGAGGCAGGAGUUUGAGACCAGCUUGGCCAACAUGGCAAAACCCCGUCUCUACUAAAAAUAUAUAGCCAGGCAUGGUGGUGCAUGUCUGUAAUCCCAGCUGUUCAGGAGGCUAAGGCACAAGAAUCGCUUGAAUCCGAGAGGCAGAGCUUGCAGUGAGCCAAGAUCGCACCACUGCACUGACAGUGUUUCAUCAUGUUGGCCAAGCUGGUUUCAAACUCCUGAUCUCAAGUGAGCUGCCCACCUUGUUCUCUCAAAGUGCUGAGAUUACAGGCAUGAGCCCCUGCACCCAGCCUGCAUAACUUUUUUUAAAAGGCAUUGUUGCCUUGUUCCCUUGAAUCACUUUCUCUGGGAAACUAGCUAUCAUGUCAUGAGGACACUCAAGCAGCUCUGGGAGAGACCCCCUGUGGCUAGAAGCUGUGGAUUCUCACCAACAGCCAUGCAAGAUUCCCCAGCCCCAGUCGAGCCUUCAGAUGACCACAGCCCCAGCUGAUAUCUUGACUGCAAUAUCAUGAAAAACCAUGUGUCAGAACUGCUCAGACAUGUUGCUCCCAAAUUCUGGACCUGCAGAAACCAUGAAAGACAAUAAAUGAUUAUUGCUGUUUUAGGUCACUAUGUUUUGAGCUAACUUCUUACACAGCAAUAGAUACUAAUGCAUAUUUUAACCAGUUUCCUACAUUAAAACCUUUCUGUUGGAAAGAC